rnacentral:rRNA from 1 species
GCUGGCAGCUAGCUCUCUGCAAUUUUCACAUGGUCGCCCACUGGAGCUAAACAGGGUUUCACUUAGUCAGUACCUGGGUGGGAGACCACAUUGGAAAGCUAAGUUGCUGCCGAAA